UUCAACCUGGGAGUUUUGGUCCACUGCAGUGCCCAUUCUGUUUCACGAGGAAUGCAAAUAAUUGUGUGGUCGUCGACACCCAUAACUGCCCUAUUAGAGGUACUAAGUGCAUAACAUUUGCUGGUAUCAUGCAGCAAGGUGAGUAGAACUGCCAAUCAGCAGAGGGUGGGGGGUGAGGGAAAGCAGCUCUCAGCCAUCAGCUACCUGACCCUAUUCUGACCAAAUGUGAUAAAAGCAAAGGAUGGGGUGGGGAUCUGUGUUUUAUUUGAGGGGAUGAAUUUGAAGUUUUCUUUACACUGCUUGCCCCAUUCCUCAGUCAAUGGCAUGGUGUUGACCCACCCCCAGACAGUGCUGGGAAAUUCCUGAUCGCAUGGAAGCAAACAUGUACAAAGCUGUCAUUCCCAUUUUGAGUUUCCACAUGCCUUGGAGGGAUGUUGUAUUGUGGGCUUUGGGGAAAUUAAAUUGGUGGCUAAAUUCGCAAAUGUGGGCUUCACCCAAUAGCCUUGGUCUGGUCAGAGUACAAGUAGACAGGGAAGAAAGGGAAAGCAGGGCUUGUGGAAGACAUCAGAAAUGGGCUGUUCUCAGGUGCAAUGGUCCUGAAAUCUGCCUGAAAUCUGAAAUGGUCCUGAAAUAUUGUGAAUUUUCAGGAAACAUCAGAGGGGUGGGGGUAAAAGGGUCCUGCAGGUUGCCCAAGUGUGCCGGGUCCUUAAGUCCACCCUGACUCAUAUUAACAUUCUUCUCUUUCUAGUGGGUUCAAGUCAAGUGUCAGCUGCUUUCAAAGGAUGUGCAACACCAGAUUUCUGUAAUUUCAUAACAACAAUCCCAACAGGAGUAAAGCGAAGUCUGAAUGGCUUGGUGUCGUUCAAUGUCACCCAAGCGACAUGUGUUGAUGCCCAGCCAUCGUCCUAUACUUCUGGCCUGUAGAUGUGCCCUUCGUGGGACUUGGGAGGAAACUGUGCUAUCAGCGGCAGGGUGUGGAAGAUCUCUGGAGAUGCUGAAG